AACGAACGCUGGCGGCAGGCUUAACACAUGCAAGUCGAGCGCAUCCUUCGGGGUGAGCGGCAGACGGGUGAGUAACGCGUGGGAAUCUACCUUUUGCUACGGAAUAGCUCCGGGAAACUGGAAUUAAUACCGUAUGUGCUCUUUGGCGGUGGACGCUUGAGAGGAGAGAUUUAUCGGCAAAGGAUGAGCCCGCGUUGGAUUAGCUAGUUGGUGGGGUAAAGGCCUACCAAGGCGACGAUCCAUAGCUGGUCUGAGAGGAUGAUCAGCCACAUUGGGACUGAGACACGGCCCAAACUCCUACGGGAGGCAGCAGUGGGGAAUAUUGGACAAUGGGCGCAAGCCUGAUCCAGCCAUGCCGCGUGUGUGAUGAAGGCCUUAGGGUUGUAAAGCACUUUCACCGG
rnacentral:rRNA from 1 species